rnacentral:rRNA from 1 species
AUUGAACGCUGGCGGCAGGCCUAACACAUGCAAGUCGAGCGGAUGAAGGGAGCUUGCUCCUGGAUUCAGCGGCGGACGGGUGAGUAAUGCCUAGGAAUCUGCCUGGUAGUGGGGGAUAACGUCCGGAAACGGGCGCUAAUACCGCAUACGUCCUGAGGGAGAAAGUGGGGGAUCUUCGGACCUCACGCUAUCAGAUGAGCCUAGGUCGGAUUAGCUAGUUGGUGGGGUAAAGGCCUACCAAGGCGACGAUCCGUAACUGGUCUGAGAGGAUGAUCAGUCACACUGGAACUGAGACACGGUCCAGACUCCUACGGGAGGCAGCAGUGGGGAAUAUUGGACAAAGGGCGAAAGCCUGAUCCAGCCAUGCCGCGUGUGUGAAGAAGGUCUUCGGAUUGUAAAGCACUUUAAGUCGGGAGGAAGGGCAGUAAGUUAAUACCUUGCUGUUUUGACGUUACCAACAGAAUAAGCACCGGCUAACUUCGUG